GAUGAACGCUAGCGGCGGGCUUAAUACAUGCAAGUCGAGGGGUGGUAGCAAUACUACACCGGCGCACGGGUGCGUAACGCGUAUGCAAUCUACCUUUGUCUGGGGGAUAGCCCGGGGAAACCCGGAUUAAUACCGCAUAACAAAUUUCUUGGCAUCAAGAGAUUUUAAAAGAUUUAUCGGAUAGAGAUGAGCAUGCGUAAGAUUAGAUAGUUGGCGAGGUAACGGCUCACCAAGUCUACGAUCUUUAGGGGCUCUGAGAGGAGAAUCCCCCACACUGGCACUGAGAUACGGGCCAGACUCCUACGGGAGGCAGCAGUAGGGAAUAUUGGGCAAUGGGCGCAAGCCUGACCCAGCCACGCCGCGUGCAGGAAGAAGGCCCUCUGGGUUGUAAACUGCUUUUGACUGGGAAGACAAGAAGCCUUGCGAGGAGAGUUGACGGUACCAGCAGAAUAAGCCACGGCUAAAGACGUGCCAGCCGCCGCAGUAAUAC
rnacentral:rRNA from 1 species